UUAUGUGAAGACAUAAGGACAUACAAAUACAGAGUUACAUCUUACUGGUUAACCUUUAACUUUUCUCAGCCAGUCACUGUUAAUGCAACGCUGGUUCAUCUCCAGGCUAAAACUGAACACCAUUGAGGCUCAUUGUGACCUCUUUUGGCCAAGUAAAUAGCUGGCCCAGAGUUCUAUAAUUUUGGGGGACAGCUCUGCAUUAACAGCCAUUGCAAGAAGUUUUCACUUACCCUUAGAAAAGAAUCACCCUCUCCGUGGGUCCUCUUGUCUUGCUUAUCAGGCAGGUCUGGCUUCUUUCUUAGCAGAGAUGUGGAUUGAUCCUACAAAGAUUUUUUUUUUUUUUUAAUUCCAAGACCUUGGGUACCAUGUCCUGUUCUCAUAGCCAGAAAUUUGAGUACUUAGGUCUACCACAUAUUGUUUUUUUCUUUUAUAGACAGAUAAGAGAAAGGCCAGUGGUACACAGUGUGUUAAUUUGGCACACUUAGAUUCUGUUUGUGGAGUUCCCUUUUCUAUGGAGCUAAUAUUUACAGAGGGCUGAUGUCCUGGCACCAUAUGGCAUCCCAGGCACCAUACUACGCCUUUUCUGUGGAUUGUCUCCCUUAGGCCUCAGAGUAACCUUGUGUUGCACCUAAUUUACGGAGGCACAAAUGCUUGCUAAGGUCAAACAUCUCAGCCAGGCUUAUACUCCCAUCAAGAAACAGGCCUGAGCUUUGAACCCAGGCUGUCUGUGCAAAGCCCAUGCACGCUGCCUCCCGAUAGCAUUUUGUUUCUUUGUGUAUUUCUCCAGUCAGAAGGUUUUUCUCUCCCUGACCAUUUAUUUUCCCUAAUUCCUGAUCUUGGAACAGAUGAUUUCCAAGAUCCCUUUGAGUAUUGAAAUUCCGUGACUGAUUAAAGUUUGUAAUUUAUGCAGUUUGAUUAAUUUGCACCAAUGCCUGAGUUCAUUUAUUACAUUAAUUCUUUUACUGAAGACUCCAACAGCUUUUUAGUUUACUUACAGAUCUCCUGAUGUUAAAGGAAUCAUGCUGCUUUUUCCCAGAAUAACAUUUAAAACCUGAAUUUUAAAAUUUAAGGCUUAAAAAACAGAUCUGAAAGGAUUUUACCAUGCACACCAUGUACCAAUUUUCCAUAUGGACCAAAAUAGUCCUUUUAAGCCCCUGUUCUCUUGGUUGCCUUUGCCUAGCCUCACAGAUGCAGUGCUAAUUGCUUGCAGCUUCAGGUCCAUUUUAACAUGAGGUAACAAUUUCAACAUCUUGGGGUUGAAUGCUGCAUUUGUUAGACAUGCCGGGCCUGCAAUUGGUGUUGGCUCAUCAGGAUGCUGAAUCCACUUGGAGAUAAACCCAUCUGAACUUGGGGGGCUUCCUGAGAACUUCCCGUUUGCUCCUCUGAUACUCGGUGCACCUGUGUGGCUCCACAGCCAGGGCACCGCUUGGUCAACCCGGCAGCUUUGCGUGAUAGGCCUUUUGGACAGGCGCAGGCAUUUGAGUCCUUCUAAUCAAGCUGUGGUUUUUGAAGAAUGGUUCUGGAAGUGGCAUUUACUCACAGACCUAGCAGCUGGGCUGCCCUCAGCGACUGAGUUGCUCUUUGCUGUCGAAGGCAGGCUCCACUUGGGACACAGCUAAAACUCAUUCUGACUGGAUGGAGAAGACAAGACCAAAAAGAAGGGAAAUGGCACGAUUCUGCAAUCACAUCUGUAAUUAGGGCACCAUGGGACUAACUUUGGAGAAUAGCUGAACCUUGUCUUGCUUUGUACCUUGUCUGUAGUUCUGGUUGUUGGGGUCAGGAAAGCCUGGCUUCCAGUGAAACUCUACCACUGUUAAUGGCUAUGCGAUAAAGAGGAUGGCAUUUGACCUCCCUAGCUUCAGUUUCCUCACCUAUAGCCGGAGAUGGUGGGACCCGCCCCACAGGUGUGUUGUGAGGACCACAGGGUGCUGUCGAAAUGCCUAGGUGCCUCGUGCGCCUGCAGGGCCAAUUCACCUCAGAGGCUGCGUGCUAUUGUUUUUGCUCUCUUCUCGCCCCUCCCCAACACGGGACACAAUCCUAGAAAAGAGAGUUCUUGCAAACUAGUGGUUUAGGAGCACUUAUACAGGUGUGCGCCAUGCAGCAUGUGUGCUUGAUGAGGUCUCAGUAAAUCUAAUUUUGAAAUCCUGUUUUAAAUAUACUUAGGGAAAUAACAGAAAGCUACUCCAGAGCAGGUUGUUUUAUAGAGACAAUAAUAAUUUUCUGAAUCAGUUUAAUUUAGGCUUUUUAUAUAUCAUAUUUUCAUAAAAUGAGACAACCCCCUCACCCCCACGGCUCCCUAGAGGAGCAAUAGCAAUGAGCAGACAGUGUUUGCCUCGGGGAGAUGCUCACACUCACUCCUCCCUGUGCUUCUCCUACAGGCCAGCAGCUCAUUUAGCUCAUUUGGCGCAGCUGUUGGGGGCUUGCUCCCCUCCCCCCGUGAUGAGGGGUCGGCCCAGGCCCUCAGCUCGUGAACUUGAACUAGCGUGUUAAAGUUGAAGAGUCAAGAUGGGUCUGUGUCAGAGAACUAGCAGAGUGGAAGAGACUGUCCCCCAGGGAGCUGCCCGAGGCCACGGUGGUGAGGCUGCUCCUUACCUUGCCCAGAGAUCCUAUUCCUAGUAAAUCCAUGCAGAGCGUGGGAAUCGUGCCUGGCACACAGGAAGUGGUGUGUGUGUGUGUGUGUUAACCGCCAUUACUAAGGCCACCAUUAUCAUUGCGGUACUCGGUGCAAGACUCUCUGGGAUUUGUCUCGAGUUGUCUUUCGAAAGCCCUAUUCCAUCCUACAGAAUUGAGGGGAGGAUUUUAGAACCGGUAGCUGCACAGCCAGCGGAGGAGCAAUAUGACAACCUCAGGAUUAAUUCCACAAAUCACCUCAGACCCUCUAUGUUCUCCUUGUUCUCCCUGAGGAGCCAGACUAGCUGGGCUCUGGCUGGGUCCUUCCCAUUUACCUGGGCUGUUGCUGUCUCCCGAAUCCUGCAGAGGCGAUGAGCACCUUAUUGUGUAUUCAUCCGAUGGGCUGAUGGAAAAGGAAUGCAGCCAGACUGCUAAGUCCACACCAUCCUGCAUUUAGGCCUCAGAAAUCUGAUUCUGAGAAUGUACAUCUUGCAUUGCAAUCUAGAUUUCCUGAGGAAGGUUUUGGACAGAAUAACACAGACCUACGUCUGGGUAAGUUAAAGCCUCCGUGAAAUAAGGCUGAAAGAGCCCAAAAUAUAGAAGUCUGAGUCUUGGCCGGGGAGAUGUGGAAGGUUCGAGGUGCCAGACGGAUGGCCUCCCUCCAAGUGUUUACCACCCCUGGUGCCACGGGGCUGUGGGCAGCACAUGUGCUUAUUUGCCCCCUCCCCCCUUCCUCUCCCUUUCUCCCCCUUCCUCCUCAUGUUUUCCAUAGGCUAAAGAAACUCAGGAACCUAUGGACCCAGAGGGAAGGUAAUGAAGCAAAUGAGGCCAAGGAAUCAGACUUUGCCCUGGUUGAAGAUCCCAAGGGUUUACAGUAGAUGAGCCCUCUGACUGAAAUGUAAGGACUGGCCUUGGACUUUGAAUCCUAGUGUUCACCCUCCUCUUCCUGGGUGUGGACCUUCUGUCCUAGAAGUUUUGGUCUCCAGGAUAGGGGAUGGCAAGAGGCCUGGGCUUGUAUCUCUAGGAAACAGGAAGAUUGUGGCAGCAGUGGAUCCAGAUGGAGCCAGUGACAACGGGGCUGCCAUUUCCUCACUGCCCCAUCCCUCCGCCACCCCUGACUCCUCAUCCCAUGGUGCCCAGGCUGCCUGCACUAUGUGGAUACCACACACCGAUGUGCCUGCUACUCAGGCAAUAAUUGUUGUUCAGUCGGGGGUUGCCUUCUCUUCCUAAAGCAUAAUGUCACAUCAAGUCCUGAGCCCAGUCUAGCCUCUGGAACAGAAGAUGUGCUUUUCUAAACCCAAAAUACUGCAGAUGCUGCCCCAAGGAAGGGUUUUCCUAAUUCCUCCCUUCCCCCAGACAGCUGUGUGUCAAACUAGAGGAAUUACUUUCGUAAGGUAAAGGGAGGGGUUCUUGUGACCGUGCCUGCUCCACUUCCUGUUGCCAGCAGCCAAGUAUGCCUUGGGCAGGGGGGUACCGGAGGCCAGGAGGAUGGUGAGCAGCAGAUACGACACAGAUCGUGUGGAGGGCAGGUGGGAUGGAGAGAGACUGCACUGCUGGUGCACACCUGCACACCUGCAGAGCCCCGCCUUCCUGUCCGCGUACCCCAACCCAUCUGGGGGUACGACAAAGGAGGGACUUUCACCAAUGGAUCUCAGAGUCACCACAGGCCUCAAAUUUGGAUUUUUCAAAAUUUUAUCUCUAAAGAUAUGCUAAUUGGACUGGAAGAAGGAAAUUAUCAUCAGCUUUAAAUUUCUGCCAAAUUUUGGUACCAUGCCCAUGAAUUUUAAAAAUAAAUCCUCCUAUUACAUUGUGAAUAGGAUGAUUAUAUUGCCUCGAAUAUGUUUUAAAAUUUACAUGUGUUACAAGCAUUAAUUUAAUAAAUGUAAGUUUCUAAAAUGUAUCAUAAUUUUUGAAACCCUAUUUAGACAUCUCUUUGUUUUAAUAUACCUGGACUCAGGCAGCCCUCUCUUGACUUCACCUCUUGGUAGACAAUGAGACAAUCUAUUCCCUUUCCACAUGUCAUUUCAACUUCAAAAAAUCUAAGGAACUAAUCCCUGUUUCAUUACAGUGGCUGACCUAUUGAAAGGGGCCUUUUAGGUUGGGCAUGCACAGUUCAGCCUCUUUCUCGUGCCAUUAAAAAAUGCCCAGUCUCCCCUUCUACCCCAUCCCCAGGUAAAGCUGACCACCCUGUCUCCCCUGGCCUACCCCUUCCCCCAGUAAGGCUGUGUCAUUUACAUACUGUAGCCUGCCCAGCUCUGGCUGAUAUUCUUGAGUCCUUUACCCUUAGACGAUGGUACUCAACCAUAGCUGCACACUGGAAUCAGGGAGGAGGUGUUUUUUUUUUUUUUUUUGAAGAUUUAUUUAUUUAUUCAUGAGAGACACAGAGAAGCAGGCUCCUCGAAGGGAGCCCGACGUGGGACUCGAUCCCGAUUCCCAGGAUCAUGCCUUGAGCUGAAGGCAGGUGCCCAACCCCUGAGCCACCCAGGCGUCCCAGGGGAGGAGUUAUAAAAAAAUCAAUGCCUGGGUUCCACCCCAGAGUUUCUGAUUAACUUGCCAGGGGUUAUGAGCUGGGCAUUGGGAAAGUGCAGAUUAAAAGCUCAUCAGGUGAUCUUAAUAUAGAGCAAAGUUUGAGAAAUAGCAUGCUAAGACAGUGGUUUGAGAACAUUAGCAUUAGCACAACCCUACAACCCAGCAAUUGCAUUACUAGAUAUUUACCCGAAGGAUACAAAAAUCCUGAUCCGAAGCGGUACAUGGACCCCAAUAUUUAUAGUGGCAUUAUCAUAAAUAGCCAAAUUAUGGAAAAAGCCCAAAUGUCCAUACGUCCAUCAACAGAUGAAUGAAUAAAGAAGAUGUGGUGUGCAUAUCUAUACAUAAUGGAAUAUUACUCAGCCAUUAAAUAGAAUGAAAUCUUGCCAUUUGCAAUGACAAGGAUGGAGCUAGAGUGUAUUAUGCUAAGAGAAAUAAAUCAGAGAAAGACAAAUUCCAUAUGAUUUCACUCAUCUGUGGAAUUCAAGAAACAAAACAGAUGGGACAUGGAGGGAGAAAAAAAGAGAGGCAAACCAGAGAACAGAUUCUUAACUAUAGAGAACAAGCUGAGGGUUGCUGGAGGGGAGGUGAGUGGGGGGAUAGGAUGAAUGGGUGAUGGACAUUAAGGAGGGCACUUUUUGGGAUGAGCACUGGGUAUUGUAUGUAAGCAAUGAAUUGCUAAAUUCUAUUCCUGAAACUUACAUUACACUCUAUGUUAAUUAACUGGAAUUUAAAUAAAAACCUGACAAAAGGGGAAAAAAGAAGACAUUAGCGUGUAUCAGAAUAACAUUGAGGACUUAUUAAAAAUCAGAUUGCUGGGCCCCAUCCCCACAGUUCCUGAAUCAGAGUGUCUGGAUGGUGCGAUAAUUGCAUUUCUAGCAAGUUCAAGUUCCCAGGUGAUGCAAUGCUGCUGGUCCCGGGAUUGCAUUUUGAGAACCAGUGUCCUAAAAGAAAGAAGCCAGGGAGAUGGACUGGUGAGGGAAAGAGGAGUGAAUGAACAAAGAUCCAGCUAUUUCUAAUUCUCGAACUCUGCAGUUGGCUUCAGAGACUAGGACAUUUCUAAGCUCCAGAGAAUGGGUCACUAUAGCUGCGGCUGUACAGAAAGUCCAAAUGGGGUUAAGCUGAGUCCAGGCAGCCAGAGCCCCAGCUGUUGGGUAAGGCAUGGCCCUGAAACUGAGUCUGGGAUCUGGAUGAGCUCUGACCAGAAAUGUGAGUCACAUGUGUAAUUUCAUAUUUUCUAGUCACGUUUAAAAAAAAAACUAGAAAGAAACCAUGAGACUAACAGUAAUAUACUGAAAUCUAAUUAUCCAAAAUCUUACCAUUUUAACAUGUCAUCAACAUUAAAAAUUAUUAAUGAGUUUACAGUCUUUUUUUCCUGCUAAGUCUUGGAAUCAGGUUUUACACCUAGAGCAUAUCUCAGUUCAGACUAGCCACCUUUUUCAGGGGCCACAUGUGUGCAGCACAAGUCUGGAUACACCAGGAGCUGGGGCCUUGUGCUUCUGAGGAAGGGCUGAUGCACACUGGUCCCCACUUCUCCGGGCAGCCCCUCUUUCCUGCCCUUCCCAGAGCCCCUGGAAUCUACUCUUAGGGUCUGCGAGUCUUUCCCAUGUUCUUCACCAGCAGCGCUUCUGGAGAGCACAAAAGGUUGAAUGGGCCUAAUCACAUCUGCGUGUCUGAGAUCAGGAUCUGGGAGGUUCUACAGAUAUAAGCGGAGCCUGGGUGUUUGGGGGAAAGGAUGAGGCUUUCGUUGGAGAGAAAUGGGUGUUGAAAUUGAGGAAGAGGAUUGAACA
rnacentral:lncRNA from 1 species